AAACAUGUCACCACUGCCAUGGUUCACUGGAGAUCAUCUCAAAAGAAUGAAAACAACACAUGAAAAUUAAUUAAAAGUCAGUGGUGUAAACGGCUUCAUUCAAUUAUUGGUGCAAAUAACAAGCUCUGUAGCAUGAUAACUGGCACGUACAGACACAUCAAAUUAGCUCCGAAGAAAAAUAGAGAAUAAGGGAACCACUUUGAAACUCUUUAAAAGGGCAGGACAGACUUCUUGAAACAGGAGACACUUUCUCCAAACAAGGGAAGCACUCUCCUGAAGAAUGAGCAUUUUUACGACACCCUUUUCAGUCGGCAGAAAUGCUCGCUGGACACGAGCUCGUUCGACCUCAGGUCACUUCCCGACGUCCCUCGCUCCUGCUGUGACAUCAUAGGCCGUGUGGGUCAAAGUGAAGCGUGCGGAGACGGUAUGGUGCAGACCGAACUACGAGCGGACAGAGGCAGAGAAAGGCAAAGUGAGACAAAGGAAAAGUGUGGUGGCUGAGAGAGGGCUCUCUGAUUCGUUUCCUUGGCAGGAUGACAAAACUGUGCGGAAUGCAGUGGAGAGGGGAAAGAGAAGUGAUCAAGAGCUCAAGAACGAAAAGAGGAGGGGAAAAAAUAGACGACAGACGAGGGGAGAGAGGCCUGCUGAAUAAGCCAGGAUGGCAGGGCCUUCCAUUGAUUCAUUUCCCCUUUCCCACCCUAUUACCAUUCUCUCUUCAUCUCUCCACUCUCUUCAGUACAACCAUUAGCUACAUAUCCGCUGCUUCCUUCAGUAUUUCAAAGGACAUCUUUGUGGCUUGAUAGAAGGAAUAAAACGAAGGGCUCCCUGGAGGAAGGAGGGGUAGAGGUAGUGGGGUGUCCCAGCCAAGCCAAGCCAAGCUAUGUCUACAAACCUCCCCAUGACCAGCUACAGCCAAACUUUCACCCAGUGAGUGAGGUGCAACCUAAUGGUGUCUGACAUAAAAUUCCUUCAAAGAGCUGCUUGCACAAUGUAUUAGAUUUCCCCAUAUAAAAUACUUUAUAUACACACAUUUUACAUCAUUCACUUGGUGCCUCAGUCAGACUCAAUGCAGCAGAAAGUGAGGCUCAGCACUCAGAGAGUUGGACAGCUCCUGUCCAGCCUGAUGUGAAUGAAGACUUAUUGAUCCCAACAGGCUGUGGCCCUAAUGCAUUUACACCCUGCUAUACUCCCUCCACACAUUCCGUUUGUCCCUCUUAAUUAAAGCUACACCAUAACGGAUCCAUACAACUCCCCUGAUACCCGAUGACUUUCUCUCCCAUUCUCCCCAUUUCUACCCUUCCUUUCCCUUUUUACCCCCCGCCCUCUGCCUCUCUGUCCUCUGAGAUCCCUGGGGUAUUACCUCUAACGGCAGUGUUUGUAAGGCCAGUCUGGUGUUGACAUGGCUGAUGUAUUUUGGUGUGCAAUGAUGUGUUCUUUCAAAAUGAUUCAAAUUAACCAAUAGUGCAUGGAAACAAUGAGGAAACACCCACAACUGUCAACUGAGGCUUCAUGUUGUUGUGGGCUGUGUUGCUUUGACAUGGUAAUAAACAAACCACAUUUGAUAAUAUAAUUCAUGUGAUAGAAUCUGAUUCUGGGCAUAUUACAUUGUACUGGUAUAUCAAACAUACUAUCUUGAUUUUUAAGCUGUUUAAACCAUGAUGUAAGCGCAAGAUAAGUGAGUUCAAUAAUCGCUAACAUAAAUUAAAUUAUCUGAAAUUUCCUCAUAGAGACAUUCAGGGACCUUAAUGUAAACUGUACAUAAAUUUAUAGGCUGCUGACCUCUAAAAGAAUGUCAGAACUUAACAAGGAAAUAAGGAGAUUGAUUUAGGGAGCAAACUAAAAGCAAGAAGAAGGAGAUGAAACAGCGUUUAAUUUCAUUGGUGUGAAUUACUGCCUCUGACAGAUCAAACAUUUUUUGUUAGUGUAGGACUAAAACGUGUCUUCCUCCCUCCUUCUCUCCAUCUCUGUCUUCCUCUCUCUUGGUAUGCUGUGAUCUCUGAGGAACAUCCCACCCUGUCUCUGUCUCAAACUCUUAACCCCACCUAUACCUUCUCUUCAACUUUAAACUGUACUCUUAAAUUUCUGUAUUGCACUGAACUUGGUUUAACUCCCUUCCCUUCAUUCUUUAAAAAGCCCAGUCGCCACAGUGCUUUUACAGUGUAGCUAACUCAGCAAAAGAAAAACAUCAGGUAUACGCAAAGAAAAAAUAGUUAGUUUAAAUUUGCUCCUCUUAUGAAACCAAUAGCACACAUUCAGAUGACUAAGUGCAAUAACAAAUGAAUCAUUGUGGAUAAAAACAAACCGAGUUUCAUUCCAUGUAAUAAAACACAUUAAUGUCCCAUGUGACUAAUAUCUAACAGGGAGAUAAUAGUGUUAGAGGUUGUGCUGGGGAGAUCUGUGAUCUUUGUCUGCCUGUUUAGAAAAGACAUGUAAAUCAUCAGAGAAUAGUCUUAAAAAUGUGACACAAGAGAGAGCCAGAUAAGUGGAUCAGGGAGGGAGGGCUGGGACAAUGAGAGGAGUGCUUACAUACCACUCUGUUUAUGACCGUGAUCAUUCAAACACUUAACCCGACACUUUAAAACUGCUUUAUUCUUCUGUGACACCCAUCUGGUAUUGUAUUAUAAAUGUAUCAUUCUGCUGGUACUAAAAAAUAAAACCCUUGUUAGAACUAAAACUCCUUAUGUAUUAUUACAGUUUUCAUCACAUGCUACUGAGGAAUAACUUUGUACAUACAAAUUUUACUAAAUUAACAAUUAACAGAAUGAUCAAGGUCACACUGAAAUGAGACCAAUGAAGUACAGUGUUGAUAACAUGGGUCUUUUUUUUUUUUCAUUUCAAAAUAAACUUGUAUGUUUUAUCUAAAAAUGUUAUCAGCUAAGAAAGAAACCCUUAUUUGAAAUGACUAUAAAUUUUGGAAUAAUUUUAUUAUUGUUUUGUCUAUGAGGAAGAACAAUAUGAACCAGGUGUUCAUUUUUGUGGAGUUAUUGCACUGCACUUCCCAGAAAUCACUUGCCAUUAAAUCAGUUUGUCUGGUAAUGUCACAACAUUUUUUUGUAAGUGUGUGUCUUAGGUCCUGGCUACUACUCCUACUUUCUUUUUCUGUUCAGGCAGGAGAUUAGUAGAUUGCACAAAAAACUAAAUAAAAACAACAAACAGGCCAUAACAACAAAGCUUCUCAAAUGAAUAAUACAUCUUAUAUGAGUGCACGGUGUUCUAACUGGUU